CCUGAGUACGACGGAGCACGUGAAAUUCCGUCGGAAUCUGGGAGGACCAUCUCCUAAGGCUAAAUACUCUCUAGUGACCGAUAGUGAACCAGUACCGUGAGGGAAAGGUGAAAAGUACCCCGGAAGGGGAGUGAAAGAGAACUUGAAACCGUGUGCUUACAAGUAGUCAGAGCCCGUUAAUGGGUGAUGGCGUGCCUUUUGUAGAAUGAACCGGCGAGUUACGAUCUGAUGCAAGGUUAAGCAGAAAAUGUGGAGCCGUAGCGAAAGCGAGUCUGAAUAGGGCGAAUGAGUAUUUGGUCGUAGACCCGAAACCAGGUGAUCUACCCUUGGUCAGGUUGAAGUUCAGGUAACACUGAAUGGAGGACCGAACCGACUUACGUUGAAAAGUGAGCGGAUGAACUGAGGGUAGCGGAGAAAUUCCAAUCGAACUUGGAGAUAGCUGGUUCUCUCCGAAAUAGCUUUAGGGCUAGCCUCAAGUGAUGAUUAUUGGAGGUAGAGCACUGUUUGGACGAGGGGCCCCUCUCGGGUUACCGAAUUCAGACAAACUCCGAAUGCCAAAUAAUUUAACUUGGGAGUCAGAAUGUGGGUGAUAAGGUCCAUAUUCGAAAGGGAAACAGCCCAGACCACCAGCUAAGGUCCCAAAAUAUAUGUUAAGUGGAAAAGGAUGUGGCGUUGCCCAGACAACUAGGAUGUUGGCUUAGAAGCAGCCAUCAUUUAAAGAGUGCGUAAUAGCUCACUAGUCG
rnacentral:rRNA from 1 species